rnacentral:rRNA from 1 species
GACGAACGCUGGCGGCGUGCUUAACACAUGCAAGUCGAACGAAGUGGCGAACGGGUGAGUAACGCGUAAUCAACCUGCCCUUCAGAGGGGGAUAACAGGUGGAAACGACUGCUAAUACCGCAUACUGAAGGAGGGGAUUGCGUCUGAUUAGCUAGUGGGAGGGGUAACGGCCCACCAAGGCGAUGAACAGUAGCCGGGCUGAGAGGUUGAACGGCCAAAUGGGGACUGAGACGCGGCCCAGACUCCGACUGGAUGCAGCAGUGGGGAAUCUUCCGCAAUGGACGAAAGUCUGACGGAGCAACGCCGCGUGAGUGAUGACGGCCUUCGGGUGGUAAAGCUCUGUUAAUCGGGACGCGGUACCGGAAUAGAAAGCCACGGCUAACUACGUGCCAGCAGCCGCGGUAAUUC